rnacentral:rRNA from 1 species
CCGUAGGUGACCUGCGGAAGGAUCAUU